rnacentral:sRNA from 20 species
GUCAAUCACCCCGACUAGAAGUGGGGGGCAUGUCCCGUGAGGGAUAUGGGCAACUGAUUGUAGGAGUCAAAAAAUGAAAAAGUUAUCUAAAAGAAAUACAUACACACCAAUCAAUGCUUCACAAGUUGGUUGCAACUGUG